GCUAAAAAUUCCCUUUCAAAUAAGCUAUGAAUAAAUGUAAAUUAAACUGCUGACUUUUAUAAAUUAUUUCAAAAAAAAAUUUUUGUUCAUUUUACUUUGCUCCCAAAUAACCAUUCAUUUUUUUACAUAUUGGUUCCACUUAAUUGGCUUACAGUCAGUGGAAAGAGGCUCAAAAAGUGACCACAGAAAACAGUGUUAUGAACUUUCAAAUAUCCCUGGAGGAUUUUGCUAUCAUCAAUGUCAAAGAAUCUAGAACUUGAUUUCUUGUACAAACAAUCAGAAGACAACAAAACAAAACCCAAACAGAACAGACUAUCCUUCGCUUUGAGAGUUUUCUUCCCUUUCCAUACCAGUUGCUCUUUCAUACUUCCCUAGGCUUUAGACGAACUACAAAUUAAACACAUACAUCAAAAGAUUUAAUGCUAAGAUCCACAGGAGUGAGAACAUGUACCAUUUGUCUUUUUCCAUCUGGGUUAACCUCACUCAGUAUAUUUCCCAGAUCUAAUCAUUUACCUGCAACUUUCAUAAUUCCAUGUUACUUUACUGAUGAAUAAGAUUCCAUUGUAUAAAGGUACCACAUUUUCAUUAUUUGUCUUUCAGGUGCACUUUUAGGCUGUAUGAAAUUCUCAAUUAACAAAAAUAUAAAAACACAAGUGACAAUAAACGGGGUGAUGGCUUUGAAGACGUUAAUUUGACAGGAGAUAAAGAUUAGCAAAGAUCCUGAGAGGAUGGAGCAAACAGAGUUCCUGUGGUGAACCCUAAUCCCCAGAUGCAGUUCAUCUUGAACACAUGUUAAAGAUGCAUUAACUGCCUGGGUGGUAUGAGCUGCCUCUCUCUAUUCUGGAUCACAUCUAUUCAGUCCAUGGUCUCCAAUCAAGAUCACAGUUUGCAUUUAGUUUCCUAGUGAUGGAAAAAUCCAGUAGUGUUUUUUAAAGCAACAAAGCCAUUAAGAGCCAGGAACAAAUGAAACAAAAUUGUAGGUGGAUGUAAAAUAGAUUUUAUCAAUUAGUCAUAUGAGAUUGAGGAACGCGCUACUUAGGCUUUUAAGAGAAGCACUUUGUUGAGUUUUAGAGAUUUUUUUUCAAAGCUUGUCAGUGUGCUAGCCACACACAAUGGGAGGUGGCAAGGGCACUCUUUUCUCCAGUCUCUCUCUUCCUGAUUCUCAGAGCUAGACACAUGGCCCACCCCUUGAACUAGCUCAAGACAAGGCAGAAAGAAACAAAAGGAGUGAAAAAUUCAUAAUUUAGAGAAAGCAGAUUGGGUCAUCUCUUUAAAAAAGUAACUAGAUUCAAAGUCUUGUGAGGCUUCCGGGGUCCUCAUGAACUCUGAUGAGUUUUCGGACCAAGUAAUAAUAAUUCUAGGAUCCUUCAGGGGACCAUUGCUCACUGGCCGCUAGCUCAGCGGGACUAGGUUUCAGUCGUGUCUCUAUUGCUUAAAUAUGAACCAUUUCAAGUACCGCAGGCUCUCCCAAACUGGGUUUCCCCCUAAUGAGAAGUUCUCAGCUGCUCUAUUUCCCUAGAUUAACCCUUUGAACUUACAGUAUGUCAGGUUUGUCUUUUCGUCCUGUGUCCCAAGAGAUAGCAGAUAGCUUGCAAGGUGACCACUGUGCCGUGCCAACAGAGUAUUUAUUAAUAUUAAUCGGCAUCUAGGGUCCACACAGCUAGGGUCCUCCCAACCGAGUGGGCUUUGAGAGACAGAAGACUGAGCAUGACAGUGUGAUAGCCACACAUGAUGGGAGGUGGCAAUGGCACAGUCCCAGCUUGCUGUAACUCUUUCAGACUGCCCCACAUUAGCAGUCCCAUUUCGCAGCACUCCUCUCCCUGUGACCACCCAGUCUCUCUGCAUUCUAGCCACUCCUUCUUGGCAGUAUGCCAACCGCUUUCUCCCCUACAGGCCCUCUCACAAUAUGUUCCCACUGUAGAGCACAGUCUCUUCCUCUAUAUUUGCCUAAGAAAUGUCUGCUCAUUUUGCCUAUUUUAUAGACAAAGGAAAUCCCAACAGGAAAAGUUUGUUUCCCUCCUAGACUUGUUCGGAUAUAUCUCACAGUUUUACCAUCCUGUCGUCCUUUCUUAUUGCAAACGUUUAAUCUGCUUCUUUUACAAGUUGUCUGUUUUGCUCCAUGUGGCCAGGACUGUGUUUAUCUUGCUCACUCCUUAUAGCCUCAGCAAUUUAUACAAUAUCCGGCACAUAGCAUACAGUAGGUGUUGACACACAGGUCCCUCAGCUAUCCAGCCCUAUUGUAUUAUCUGUAUUCUAUACUUGCCCUGAGAUGCCCUUGAGUUUCUGAGUCAGUCUUAGGUUUUGGGCCAAUCUUCUGUUAGUCCUACAUGAACUCAACUAUGUGAUGCUGAUCUAGGUCUUGGGUCUAUCAUUUCUGCCUGUUCCGUAUUGUUAAGAUUCAUUAUACCAUGCAAUUAAAGAGAACAGAGAAAUAA